UAUAUGAGCGGAACUGAUGUACUGAUGCGCAGAACGGACUUGACAUGGUCUUUAAUUUAUUUAUUAAUUUUUGUUAUCUCUUCUUGAUACUAACGUGUUGAAGAGUAAUAAAGUAGAAGUAUAGAAGGUAGACUUUGUGUUAAUAUCACAAUGAAAUGCAUUUAAUUUCAUAUAGCUAAUAUUGUUUUGAUGAAUUAGUUGUUUUGUGUUUUAAAUAAUUGUUAACGUUUGGCAGGCAUAAUUAUUUAAAAUAGUACAAUUUAUUAUGUACAGUUUGUUAUGUUCUAUUACAUGAACACACAACUUGUGUAUUUACAUGAUAGUGUUGUUAAUAGUAUACAAUUAGGGCAGCUCAUGGUUGUCAGAAGCAGAACAAAAUUGUCCUACACAGGAUGUAAAUUUUAAUAACUGAGAAAUGUAACAGUACAGAAUAAUUGUGAACCCAGUGACAGUGUUAAAAUAGGCAAAGAGCCAGAUUGAUUUGAGUGAAAAAGGCUUGGUCUGGUUUUUGGUUGUCAAAUUGGCCGAGUACGCCAAUCAGGCUAAAGCCACUGUCUGAAAUUAGUUGGGUGCACUUACUACAUUAAGACGGAUUUAAUACCUA